rnacentral:rRNA from 1 species
UACGGAGGGGGCUAGCGUUGUUCGGAAUUACUGGGCGUAAAGCGCACGCAGGCGGCUUUGUAAGUUAGAGGUGAAAGCCCAGGGCUUAACCCUGGAAUUGCCUCUAAGACUGCAUCGCUAGAAUCGUGGAGAGGUGAGUGGAAUUCCGAGUGUAGAGGUGAAAUUCGUAGAUAUUCGGAAGAACACCAGUGGCGAAGGCGACUCACUGGACACGUAUUGACGCUGAGGUGCGAAAGCGUGGGGAGCAAACAGG